GACGAACGCUGGCGGCGUGCUUAACACAUGCAAGUCGAACGAAGUGGCGAACGGGUGAGUAACGCGUGAGUAACUGCCCCCCUCUCUGGGAGAACAGUUGGAAACGGCUGCUAAUACCGGAUAGUGGGGGAUGACUCGCGGCCUAUCAGCUUGUUGGUGGGGUAGGGGCCUACCAUGGCGACGACGGGUAGCCGGCCUGAGAGGGCGACCGGCCACAUUGUGCUAGGCUACGGACCAAACUCCUACGGGGGGCAGUGGUGGGAAAUAUGUCCCAGUGGGGGAAUCCCUGAUGCAGCAACGCCGGGUUCGGAAUGUCGGCCUUCGGGUUGUAAACCGCUUUCAGCCAUGACGCGGUAGUGGCAGAAGAAGCACCGGCUAACUACGUGCCAGCAGCCGCGGUAAUUC
rnacentral:rRNA from 1 species